rnacentral:rRNA from 1 species
GACGAACGCUGGCGGCGUGCUUAACACAUGCAAGUCGAACGGAAAGGCCCUGCUUUUGUUGGGUGCUCGAGUGGCGAACGGGUGAGUAACACGUGAGUAACCUGCCCUUGACUUUGGGAUUACUUCAGGAAACUGGGGCUAAUACCGGAUAGGAGCUCCUGCUGCAUGGUGGGGGUAGGAAAGUUUCGGCGGUUGGGGAUGGACUCGCGGCUUAUCAGCUUGUUGGGGGGGUAGUGGCUUACCAAGGGUUUGACGGGUAGCCGGCCUGAGCGGGUGACCGGCGACAUUGGGACUGAGGUACGGCCCAGUCUCGUACGGGGGGCAGCAGUGGGGAAUAUUGCACAAUGGGCGGAAGCCUGAUGCAGCAACGCCGCGUGCGGGAUGACGGCCUUCGGGUUGUAAACCGCUUUCGCCUGUGACGAAGCGUGAGUGACGGUAAUGGGUAAAGAAGCACCGGCUAACUACGUG